UAGGGAAUCUUCGGCAAUGGACGAAAGUCUGACCGAGCAACGCCGCGUGAGUGAAGAAGGUUUUUGGAUCGUAAAACUCUGUUGUUAGAGAAGAACAAGGACGUUAGUAACUGAACGUCCCCUGACGGUAUCUAACCAGAAAGCCACGGCUAACUACGUGCCAGCAGCCGCGGUAAUACGUAGGUGGCAAGCGUUGUCCGGAUUUAUUGGGCGUAAAGCGAGCGCAGGCGGUUUCUUAAGUCUGAUGUGAAGGCCCCCGGCUCAACCGGGGAGGGUCAUUGGAAACUGGGAGAAUUGAGUGCAGAAGAGGAGGGUGGAAUUCCAUGUGUGGCGGUGAAAUGCGUGGAGAUAUGGAGGAACACCAGUGGCGAAGGCGGCUCUCUGGUCUGUAACUGACGCUGAGGCUCGAAAGCGUGGGGAGCAAACAGG
rnacentral:rRNA from 1 species